GACGAACGCUGGCGGCGUGCUUAACACAUGCAAGUCGAACGGAAAGGCCCUGCUUUUGUGGGGUGCUCGAGUGGCGAACGGGUGAGUAACACGUGAGUAACCUGCCCUUGACUUUGGGAUAACUUCAGGAAACUGGGGCUAAUACCGGAUAGGAGCUCCUGCUGCAUGGUGGGGGUUGGAUAGUUUCGGCGGUUGGGGAUGGACUCGCGGCUUAUCAGCUUGUUGGUGGGGUAGUGGCUUACCAAGGCUUUGACGGGUAGCCGGCCUGAGAGGGUGACCGGCCACAUUGGGACUGAGGUACGGCCCAGACUCCUACGGGAGGCAGCAGUGGGGAAUAUUGCACAAUGGGCGGAAGCCUGAUGCAGCAACGCCGCGUGCGGGAUGACGGCCUUCGGGUUGUAAACCGCUUUCGCCUGUGACGAAGCGUGAGUGACGGUAAUGGGUAAAGAAGCACCGGCUAACUACGUG
rnacentral:rRNA from 1 species